rnacentral:lncRNA from 1 species
UGGGAGGUGACUGCAACCUGCCUGGGUUCCUCUGACUCCAGGGCUACCCAGGUUCGUCAUCCUGGGCGGCAUUUAGAGGCUGGAAUCCCAGCCUUAUCUACCAAGGGAGGGCGCAAGCCAGGAGAGCCCUUGGGGAGACCCCAGCCACGCCUGCACUAUGCUUCUCUUGUGACUCGGGAAACAGAACUACACCUCCCAGGAAGCAGUUCGGCCCCCCACGGCCCCUCUUCGCGCUCCGCCCACCCCGUCCUGCCCCUCCCCGGCCCCCGCUGGUAUAUAAAGGCCGAAUGGCCUGGCCGCGGGCAGAGCGCGGAGGCGGCGCGGGUGAGCAGGGUGGCAGCCGAGCCCGGAGGACGCGGCCACCACAGCUGGCGUCCGCCGCUCUGCGCUUCUCCUCGGAGCUUCUCUUGUUCGGCGGGGCCCACCUCACGCCGCCCGGGCCCCGCGGACCUGCAAACCUGGGGCCGCGAGCAGAUCUGCCCUUGGCGCUUUUCUGGGCUUGGCAGAGGGGUUCCGGCCAGAGAUCUCUGGGUUCGCGCUGGCGAUGCGCAGCGAAGAAAGGCGGGGAGCCGCGUCCGGACUGGGUGCUCUCCGAGCGCGAGGAGGCGGGAUGCGCUCGCCGGGGGCGGCGGGGCGCCCUGCACCCGCCCGCGUUGCGCUCCAGCCCCCGGGCCCGGGAAUGCGGCCGUUCGGGCACCCCCGGUAGCGGCGUCCACGCGCUCUCCGAGGGUCCGGAGCGCAGAGGCCGGCUGCCGGCGCUUUGGCCUUGGAUGGAAAAUGCGGAAUGAGAUGGGGGCCUCCGGACCCCCUAACGUGGAUUACUUGGUGCAUGUGAGCGGGACUCAGAAGACCCACGACCUCGUCUCCGUCCGUGGAUCCAUACGUUCUACCCAACAGUCGGGACGCUCACCUGGAGGUGAAAUCAGACGUUUGUGGCUGACCUGGAUAAAUUGCUUCAAACCAAGAAAGAAGGACAAGAGGAAAGGAGAGCUGUGCACAGGAAUCAGGGCCCAACCCAGCCCCGGUGCUCUGCUGGCUUUGGGGGUUUUGCUCCCUCUGCAGCACACCUGCUGCCUGGGCAUCCCUAAUGCACCAGUGUGCCGGCCCAGCGUGGAGAUCAGCAGGCAGGAUCCUUGCAGUUAGCCAUCAGAGAAGGUCGAGAGACGCAG